GAACAUUGAAUUCUUCUUUUAACAAAAAGGUUACUGAAUGGGAACUUCUUUUCCAUCCCAAUUUGACCAGUGGCUUAUAGGAAUCAAAAGAGAAUAUAAAAGUAUAACCAAUAUGGAAUACUUAAUAUUAUCAAAUUUGCACCUCAAAUGUUGCUUUUAAAUGGAUAGACAGUAAAUUAAAAGGAAGACACCCCUUUUAAUAUGACUUCAUUCUUUUUGAGGGGAAGAAUAAAAUAUAAGAAUCUAGAGGACUAGCAAGCAACUCCUAGGGGAAUAUGCUUUUUGAAAGUAAUUUCCCACCUUCAACAAAUGUACACUAUAUUAUAUUUU
rnacentral:lncRNA from 1 species